UUCUUCGUGGAGGAUUAGAUGCCGAUGUCUGUUCGUCAGAGCGCUACCAGCCAUGGCCAAUAAUUUUUUACACAAAUGUCAGUACCAAUUGUAUCUAUCUAAAGUCUACAUGCAAUGAGGAGGGACAAUUGAUCUAUGAUAAUGGGAACCGUAAUACCGAUGCUACCUGUCGAUGUGACUACAGAAAAAAAUUUGAUUUCCUUUUCAAACCUCGAAAUUCAUGUUUUUGUGUACCAUCAAAGGAAGAUUGCUCAUGUUAUAUAAAGACAUGUCCAAAAUCAACUGACAGGUUAUCACCAGAUUACCAAUGCCUUCGUGACGAAGACAACACAACUGUUUUUGAAUGUAAAUCAGUUAUCUGCAAAAGGGUAGUAAACACAAGUAGCACAGGAAAUAUAUCAACUACACG